GGAGGGGUCGCAUAAUGGUAUUGCACUGGUUUCGAAAACCAGCGCCCGCAAGGGCUUGCGAGUUCGACUCUCGCCCCCUCCG
rnacentral:tRNA from 1 species